rnacentral:lncRNA from 1 species
GGGGAAAUGGACAUGGGUGAACUCAGAAAAUUUACUGAUGUUUGAUUUACAGGUGAAGCAAGGGAAGAGCAGUAAAAUGUGAUCCAGAGACAGAACGAGAACAGACAUUUGCUGAUGCAGUUCCAACGUGACUUGGAAGUUACCAAUUCUACCUCACAGAUAAAAACACCGAGGAGACAGAAUGGUGAUCACUCGGGGAUGUUUAUGGUUUUACGUGUAGGUAACUGGCAUCUAUCUAUCUAUCUAUAUGCAUGUAUAUCUAUUCACCAAUGUUUCCAUCACAGGAAGCCUGUGUCCUUCACAGGGAUCUAUA